rnacentral:rRNA from 1 species
CCUACGGGAGGCAGCAGUGAGGAAUAUUGGACAAUGGACGAAAGUCUGAUCCAGCUAUGCCGCGUGCAGGAUGACGGCCCUAUGGGUUGUAAACUGCUUUUAUACAGGAAGAAAAACUCCGACGUGUCGGAACUUGACGGUACUGUAAGAAUAAGGAUCGGCUAACUCCGUGCCAGCAGCCGCGGUAAUACGGAGGAUCCAAGCGUUAUCCGGAAUCAUUGGGUUUAAAGGGUCCGUAGGCGGUUUUUUAAGUCAGAGGUGAAAUCCUGCAGCUCAACUGUAGAAUUGCCUUUGAUACUGAAAGACUUGAGUUAUUGUGAAGUGGUUAGAAUGUGUGGUGUAGCGGUGAAAUGCAUAGAUAUCACACAGAAUACCAAUUGCGAAGGCAGAACACUAACAAUAUACUGACGCUCAGGGACGAAAGCGUGGGUAGCGAACAGGAUUAGAUACCCUGGUAGUCCACGCCGUAAACGAUGGAUACUAGCUGUAUGUCUACUUCAGGUAGAUGUGUGGCUAAGCGAAAGUGAUAAGUAUCCCACCUGGGGAGUACGAUCGCAAGAUUGAAACUCAAAGGAAUUGACGG